AUUGAACGCUGGCGGCAUGCCUUACACAUGCAAGUCGAACGGUAACAGGUCUUCGGAUGCUGACGAGUGGCGAACGGGUGAGUAAUACAUCGGAACGUGCCCGAUCGUGGGGGAUAACGAAGCGAAAGCUUUGCUAAUACCGCAUACGAUCUACGGAUGAAAGCAGGGGACCGCAAGGCCUUGCGCGAACGGAGCGGCCG
rnacentral:rRNA from 2 species